rnacentral:rRNA from 1 species
GCUUUCCAUGCAGUCGACGGCAGCACGGACUUCGGUCUGGUGGCGAGUGGCGAACGGGUGAGUAAUACAUCGGAACGUGCCCAGUUGUGGGGGAUAACUACUCGAAAGAGUAGCUAAUACCGCAUGAGAACUGAGGUUGAAAGCAGGGGAUCGUAAGACCUUGCGCAACUGGAGCGGCCGAUGGCAGAUUAGGUAGUUGGUGGGAUAAAAGCUUACCAAGCCGACGAUCUGUAGCUGGUCUGAGAGGACGACCAGCCACACUGGGACUGAGACACGGCCCAGACUCCUACGGGAGGCAGCAGUGGGGAAUUUUGGACAAUGGGCGAAAGCCUGAUCCAGCAAUGCCGCGUGCAGGAUGAAGGCCUUCGGGUUGUAAACUGCUUUUGUACGGAACGAAAAGCUUCGGGUUAAUACCCUGGAGUCAUGACGGUACCGUAAGAAUAAGCACCGGCUAACUACGUGCCGGCAGCCGCGGUAAUACGUAGGGUGCAAGCGUUAAUCGGAAUUACUGGGCGUAAAGCGUGCGCAGGCGGUCUUGUAAGACAGAGGUGAAAUCCCCGGGCUCAACCUGGGAACUGCCUUUGUGACUGCAAGGCUGGAGCGCGGCAGAGGGGGAUGGAAUUCCGCGUGUAGCAGUGAAAUGCGUAGAUAUGCGGAGGAACACCGGUGGCGAAAGCAAUCCCCUGGGCCUGCACUGACGCUCAUGCACGAAAGCGUGGGGAGCAAACAGGAUUAGAUACCCUGGUAGUCCACGCCCUAAACGAUGUCAACUGGUCGUUGGGUCUUAACUGACUCAGUAACGAAGCUAACGCGUGAAGUGACCGCCUGGGGAGUACGGCCGCAAGGUUGAAACUCAAGGGAAUUGACGGGACCCGCAC